rnacentral:tRNA from 1 species
UCCCUGGUGGCUCAGACGGUAAAGCGUCUGCCUGCAAUGCGGGAGACCCAUGUUCGAUUCCUGGGUCGGGAA